rnacentral:rRNA from 1 species
UCGCCUGUUUAACAAAAACAUCGCCUCUUGAAUAACUAUAAGAGGUCCAGCCUGCCCAGUGACUUUGUUCAACGGCCGCGGUAUCCUAACCGUGCGAAGGUAGCGUAAUCACUUGUCUUUUAAAUGGGGACUUGUAUGAAUGGCAUCACGAGGGUUAUACUGUCUCCUUUUUCUAAUCAGUGAAACUAAUCUUCCCGUGAAGAAGCGGGAAUGAACAUAUAAGACGAGAAGACCCUAUGGAGCUUUAAACUUAAUAACAAAUACUAACCUUACAUCAACCUUCAGAAUAUUAACCUUAAUUUUAGUAUUAUGAUUAUUAGUUUUAGGUUGGGGUGACCGCGGAGUAAAAAUUAACCUCCACAUUGAACGGGACCUGUCCCUGAGCCAAGAACUACAGCUCGAAGCACCAACAAACUGACAUUAAUUGACCCAAUAUUUUGAUCAACGAACCAAGUUACCCUAGGGAUAACAGCGCAAUCCACUUCAAGAGCUCCUAUCGACAAGUGGGUUUACGACCUCGAUGUUGGAUCAGGGUAUCCCAGUGGUGCAGCCGCUACUAAAGGUUCGUUUGUUCAACGAUUAAAACCCU